rnacentral:rRNA from 1 species
UACGUAGGGUGCAAGCGUUAAUCGGAAUUACUGGGCGUAAAGCGUGCGCAGGCGGUGAUGUAAGACAGUUGUGAAAUCCCCGGGCUCAACCUGGGAACUGCAUCUGUGACUGCAUCGCUGGAGUGCGGCAGAGGGGGAUGGAAUUCCGCGUGUAGCAGUGAAAUGCGUAGAUAUGCGGAGGAACACCGAUGGCGAAAGCGGCUUCCUGGUCCGACACCGACGUUCAGGCACGAAAGCGUGGGGAGCAAACAGG